rnacentral:misc_RNA from 1 species
UAGGGAUUGCAGUGGAAAGCCCGCAGCGCGUAUUAGGAUUGCGGGUAGGAAAGGUGAGGACUUGCAACGAAAAGCCCGGGCCGUA